UGGACUAGCCCUUAAGCUUUACACGCGUUAGACGAACGGUCUGGAAAGUCCGACGAUACAGGGUGAUAGUCCCGUAGUUGACGACGUGUGUUCAGUGAAAUCGAGUAGGGCGGGACACGUGAUAUCCUGUCUGAAUAUGGGGGGACCAUCCUCCAAGGCUAAAUACUACUGACUGACCGAUAGUGAACCAGUACCGUGAGGGAAAGGCGAAAAGAACCCCUGUGAGGGGAGUGAAAUAGAACCUGAAACCGUGUACGUACAAGCAGUAGGAGCAGGCUUUGUCCUGUGACUGCGUACCUUUUGUAUAAUGGGUCAGCGACUUAUAUUCAGUGGCAAGGUUAACCAUCUAGGGGAGCCGUAGGGAAACCGAGUCUUAACUGGGCGUUCAGUCUCUGGAUAUAGACCCGAAACCAGGUGAUCUAGCCAUGGGCAGGUUGAAGGUUGAGUAACAUCAACUGGAGGACCGAACCGACUAAUGUUGAAAAAUUAGCGGAUGACUUGUGGCUAGGGGUGAAAGGCCAAUCAAACCUGGAGAUAGCUGGUUCUCCCCGAAAGCUAUUUAGGUAGCGCCUCGGACGAAUACUACUGGGGGUAGAGCACUGUUAAGGCUAGGGGGUCAUCCCGACUUACCAACCCUUUGCAAACUCCGAAUACCAGUAAGUACUAUCCGGGAGACACACGGCGGGUGCUAACGUCCGUCGUGGAGAGGGAAACAACCCAGACCGCCAGCUAAGGUCCCAAAUUACUACUAAGUGGGAAACGAUGUGGGAAGGCUCAGACAGCCAGGAUGUUGGCUUAGAAGCAGCCAUCAUUUAAAGAAAGCGUAAUAGCUCACUGGUCGAGUCGGCCUGCGCGGAAGAUGUAACGGGGCUAAGUAGUAAACCGAAGCUGCGGCAAUGCACUUUGUGCAUUGGGUAGGGGAGCGUUCUGUAAGCGGUUGAAGGUGUGUGGUAACGCAUGCUGGACGUAUCAGAAGUGCGAAUGCUGACAUGAGUAACGAUAAAGGGGGUGAAAAACCUCCUCGCCGGAAGACCAAGGGUUCCUGUCCAACGUUAAUCGGGGCAGGGUAAGUCGACCCCUAAGGCGAGGCCGAAAGGCGUAGUCGAUGGGAAACGGGUUAAUAUUCCCGUACUUCUUACAAUUGCGAUGGGGGGACGGAGAAGGCUAGGUGGGCCUGGCGACGGUUGUCCAGGUUCAAGUGCGUAGGCUUGAGAGUUAGGUAAAUCCGGCUCUCUUUAAGGCUGAGACACGACGUCGAGCACCUACGGGUGUGAAGUCAUUGAUGCCAUGCUUCCAGGAAAAGCCUCUAAGCUUCAGAUUGUAAGGAAUCGUACCCCAAACCGACACAGGUGGUCGGGUAGAGAAUACCAAGGCGCUUGAGAGAACUCGGGUGAAGGAACUAGGCAAAAUGGUACCGUAACUUCGGGAGAAGGUACGCUCUCGACGGUGAAGUCCCUCGCGGAUGGA
rnacentral:rRNA from 1 species